rnacentral:rRNA from 1 species
CGAUGAAGGACGUGAUAAGCUGCGAUAAGCUUCGGGGAGUUGCACGUAAACUUUGAUCCGAAGAUUUCCGAAUGAGGAAACUCACUUAGAGUAAUGUCUAAGUAUCAUUAAGUGAAUACAUAGCUUAAUGAGGGGAACUCAGGGAACUGAAACAUCUAAGUACCUGAAGGAAGAGAAAGAAAUUCGAUUCCGUAAGUAGCGGCGAGCGAACGCGGAUUAGCCCAAACCAAUAAAGUUUUCUUUAUUGGGGUUGCGGACAUAUCAUAACGAAGAGGUAUCGUAAUUGAAGAGGUUUGGAAAGACCCACCACAGAAGGUAAUAGUCCUGUAUGUUAAACGAGAAGACUUCAGAUAUGAUCCAGAGUACCACGGGACACGUGAAACCCUGUGGGAAGCAGGAGGGACCACCCUCCAAGGCUAAAUACUACCUAGUGACCGAUAGCGUAUAGUACCGUGAGGGAAAGGUGAAAAGAACCCCGGGAGGGGAGUGAAAUAGAACCUGAAACCCUGCACUUACAAGCUGUGGAAGCACAUUUCUUGUGUGACCGCGUACUUUUUGUAGAACGGGCCAACGAGUUACGUUAAGUAGCAAGGUUAAGCACUUAAGGUGCGGAGCCGUAGCGAAAGCGAGUUUUAACUGAGCGUUCAGUUACUUGACGUAGACCCGAAACCGGGCGACCUACCCAUGAGCAGGAUGAAGCGAAAGUAAAAUUUCGUGGAGGUCCGAACCCACGAGCGUUGAAAAGCUCGGGGAUGACUUGUGGGUAGCGGUGAAAUUCCAAUCGAGCCCGGAGAUAGCUGGUUCUCCCCGAAAUAGCUUUAGGGCUAGCCUCAAGGUGAGAGAUACGGAGGUAGAGCACUGAAUGUCCUAGGGGGUAUUGCACCUACCGAAGACUAUCAAACUCCGAAUGCCGUCAUCUUAUACUUGGGAGUCAGACUGUGGGUGAUAAGAUUCAUAGUCGAAAGGGCAACAGCCCAGAUCGUCAGCUAAGGUCCCUAAAUGUAAGUUAAGUGGUAAAGGAUGUGGGAUUGCACAGACAACCAGGAUGUUGGCUUAGAAGCAGCCACUCAUUCAAAGAGUGCGUAAUAGCUCACUGGUCGAGUGAUCCUGCGCCGAAGAUUUCCGGGGCUAAAACUUACUACCGAAGCUACGGCAUCAGUAAUGAUGGGUAGGGGAGCUUCCCAUACGGGUUGAAGCAUGACCGUAAGGACAUGUGGACAGUAUGGGAGUGAGAAUGUUGGCAUGAGUAGCGAGAUGUGGGUGAGAAUCCCACAGGCCGUAAACCCAAGGUUUCCAGGGGAAGGUUCGUCCGCCCUGGGUUAGUCGGGACCUAAGCUGAGGCCGAAAGGCGUAGGUGAUGGACAACAGGUUGAUAUUCCUGUACUACCGAUAACCGUUUGAGAGAAGGGAUGACACAGUAGGAUAAGCUAAGCACACUGUUGGUUAUGUGUGCCCAAGCAUUGAGGCAGUCAAAGUAGGCAAAUCCGCUUUGAUAAUGCUGGGAUGUGAUGGGGAGCGAAAUUUAGUAGCGAAGUAGCUGAUUUCACACUGUCAAGAAAAGUCUCUAUCGAGGUUAAAGGUACCCGUACCGCAAACCGACACAGGUGGGUGAGGAGAGUAUCCUAAGGCCAGCGAGAGAACUGUUGUUAAGGAACUCGGCAAAAUGACCCCGUAACUUAGGGAUAAGGGGUGCCACCAUCAGGUGGCCGCAGAGAAUAGGCCCAAGCGACUGUUUACCAAAAACAUAGGUUUCUGCUAAGUCGCAAGACGAUGUAUAGGAGCUGACGCCUGCCCGGUGCUGGAAGGUUAAGGGGAUCUGUUAGAGCAAUCGAAGCAGUGAACUUAAGCCCCAGUAAACGGCGGCCGUAACUAUAACGGUCCUAAGGUAGCGAAAUUCCUUGUCGGGUAAGUUCCGACCCGCACGAAAGGCGUAACGAUUUGGGCACUGUCUCAACAACAGACUCGGUGAAAUUGUAAUUCCGGUGAAGAUGCCGGAUACCUGCGACAGGACGGAAAGACCCCAUGGAGCUU